GGGGGCCGAAUACUUUUGCAAGCCACUGUAUCUACCUUUCCCUUUGCCUACAGCAAUACGAGUAAUACAUUAAGUGAACUGGUCUUUUCUAUUCUAAGUUUCUAUUCCUGUGUGCCUGUGCGAGCGUUAAGUCACGCACGUAUAAUGUUGCAUCCUUGCAUAUGUGUGCCUACGCUGUGUGAAGUUGUGUCUAUGUUUAUGUCUGCUUGCGCUUAAUUAGGGGAAGCAGUGAGCAUUUCACUUCUGGAGGGGAUUUUAUGGCUAUGUAAAUAUCAUACAUCAUGAUUCAGCGAGGUGAGGCGAGCGUAGCCCAGCGGCUGCCAAAUCUCACUUAGAUUGCUGUCUAGAUGGCAACAGUGGAGGGUGACACAGCCAACGCAGAAGUGAUGACUGAUUUGUUUCUCUGGGUCAGAACACACGGGGGUGGAUUUGUCUUAAGGUGCUUAAAACGAAAGCGUAUGAUGCUGUCAUUUAAUCCCGACUGCCGAUUUCAUUUAAAGCAACACCAAAGAUAGUGUCACUAUUGCCAGUUUAAUAGCAUGUCAAAUAACUGUUCGCUAGCAUCAAGGGAACUGAAACUCAGCUCAUGCAUUACUGUAAAAAGUAAUGACAACUUUGUGCUUAAAUUACUGCAAAGAUGGGUUACUUUUCAAAAUCUAUUUUACCUCCUAUCUGAAUGCUUUUGUUCAGCUUUUUUGUUUGCAAUCCAACACAUGUAGUGCUGGUACAGAAAGCUUGGUGGAUGCUAGAACAGUUGGUUUAGUUUACAUUGUGCAGCUCAGCUCCAGUCCUACAAUAGGAACAAGGUUAUUCAUUUCACUGGAAACUGAGAGUGGCUACACAUGAUGGAUUUAUCAGUGGGCAUUUGUUGAAUAUGUGAAAUUUUACAUGGUGUUACUUGUCUUUGUGUUUUAUAGAGUGACAGCUAUGACAGAGGAAGGUUUCCACUGGAAAUGUGCUUGAUAAAUCACAAAAAUUGGAAUUUGUUGCAUUACAGAAAAGGCAGGAGACACAAAAAACACAGUGAAGCUGCUCUACAAACCUUGACAAAAACAUGUCAUUUCCAAGCCUCGCAAACCAAAACCUGCAGUUGUCAGGAUCUUCAAAUCAAACAGGACUUGUCCAGCAGAAUGAAUGAAUACCAGUUUUCACGGCAAAGUCGCUAAGUGCAGAAGUACCUAAGAGUUCUAUGCCAUAAAGAUAUUCAAGAGCCCCAAUGAGUUCCAGAAGCCCAACAGAGAGCUGACCAUGCUGAAAAACAUCAGUGGGCUUGACCCUGUGAGUAUUGGUCGGUUCUUUGAGGACUUUCAACAGACAGGCACACUUGUCUAGUGUUUGAAAUGCUACACGUGGAUAUAGACAUAUUGGAAAAGAAGCUACACUGCAAACCACUCUCCCUUCAUGAGAUUAAACCCAUAACACAGCAGGAAGUCAUUCUAAUCACUACUUCCUGCCUUCCACUCUGAGAUCUCCUGAAGUUUUCCUGGGUCUUCCUACCUCAGAGACAAUAGAUAUAUUUGGGUACCUUGGCAGCCCACUAUUCCCUCAGUGGUGCCUCUAUUACCUGGUUGACUCUUCAACACACACGUGGACUCCAGAUGUCUGAAGCGUACCGACUGGGACUGGAUUCCCACCUCAGAGAGGCAAAGCGACUGAGUUCAAAAGUCUGUACGACCUGGUGGUGCUGUACCCAGAUGUGAAAACAUAUGAGGACAAGAUAAAGUUUGUCAGCCUUCUGGGGAUGAUGCUGCAUCUGAAUCCUCACUACACCAAGUGAUGCGCUGACACACCUGUGCUUGAGCGCCUGUAAAUCGGAGUGAUGCCACCAGUUUUGAGUGAAUCAUUUUCUGUGUGUAUUACUUUUUGGCUUACACUUCUGCAGUGAGAUUAAACUUUCGUCAUCCAGUGACAUAGACCCCACCAGUGGUGAAAUCAGCAGGAGAAGGCAACACCACAACAACUAAAGAAUCACCCUCAGAUUGUGCCACAGUUUUGGCUCACGCUGCUACAAAUGAUGCCGCAGUUGGAUCAGAAAUGACUUGCAGAAACAACGCCGUCUCAGCUGCUCAAGCAGCCUCAGAGAGGUUGCCAGAUUAACGGAUGACUCUGCCUCUUCAGAGGAAGAUUUGGGUGAGGCUCUAAGAGCAGCAUCAAACGAGCCUGCACUCAUACACAUUGUAACCACGCCCAUGAUGACUGCCCUCUGUGGCACUGCUUCAGCUGUCAGGAACGGUCUUCAUGUUCUCAGCUUCAAAGGUUAACAAUGAGUCACAUGAAGUUGCCAACGGUUCCGCAGAUUGAGUCUCAGCUGAAGCAAAUGAUGCUGUCCGAGCUGAUGACGUCCGGUCAGCAGCACCACACUGGGUGAAGUUAACUGUGACCCUACUAUGGACAGAAAUGCUCGGACUGAAAGCAGUUAGAAAAUGUUUGGACAGGAUGUUUAGCUCUCCAUACUGCUGUGGCUAUAAGUCAACAUAAUCGUUCAAUGUUUUUCUCAUAUUCCCACAAAUUAAAUACAAAUAUUAACUUACAGGCCUUGAGUUGUCUGACCUGGUGACUGAAAAAGCAGUCACAUAGCAACAGCCUCAGCAGAUGCAGUGACAGCAGUUGUAGCAGGAGGAGCACUUGUGUCAGCUUCACUAUAACACCAAUGCUGUAGCUUUAGUAGCUGUAAGUUUUCAAACUGAAAAAAAAAUCAUCAUUAAUCAUUUGCCUUUAAUAUUUUUCCUCACAAAGUUUAAUUACUUUACAAGAUUUUUCACAUUUAAAUCAACUGCUGCGAAUAUUUCAGUUCAAGUUUAAACACCAAAUACCAGAUUUGCUUUGGAAGCUAAUCAUUAUCAGAUAUUUAACUUAUGUGAAAAAUUGUAUUAUUUAUCUGCAGUUAAAAAAUAUAACAAAUACAAAUAACUCAAACCCCACGUAUGCAUCUCUUUGGAACUAAAAAGAGACCAUUUUUGUGCCUGAUAUCACACAAAAACUAUAAAAAAAAAUGGAAAUGUGUGGUGUGGUAAGGUCAUUAAUCCACUUCAGCACCUAGAAAUAAAUAUACUAUGCAUGCCUGUUCGUGAUUAGUUACGGGUUCAUGAUGUUGUUUAAAGUAAGUUGUUUAGUUUUUGUUGUGUAGCCUGUAAAGGUAGCCAAGUGUAUAGGCUAUAAUUAUACAGGAAUUCCUCUUCCAAACAGUUUGAAAUGCACAUAAGCGAUGGUAUAAAUGUGCUCUGACAAAAUUACAGUGUGAGUUGAGAUAAUGCCCCCUUGCUGGUCACCUGUCCAGCACAUAUGGUCUGACAUCUCUGACUCUCUGACUUGAUAUUAAAGAUGUAUAGCAUGGUGCACCCAAUUUCAGUAACAUAAAUGAUGUGAAAACUUUUUCCACCACUCUCCUUUGGUAACACACAAACACCAACCAUCUGCAGGUUUGCUGACUGCAAAUAAAGACUCCAGGUCUCUGA